GGAGUUGUGUUUGCUGUCACUCGGGACGCGAGCGAGUCCCUUUUAACCACGUUCAGAGUCGCGCCCUUCACUGGACUACUAUUCUUCAUCGCUGGGUUGUUAUCCAACCUGUUGUUCAAAUUCCCCAGACUAUUACCUGUCUGCCUGUGUGUCAACAUUGGCAGCAUGGUCGUAGCAGUAGUUGGAGGAGUGUUGAUAUGCGUUGACGUGGGCAUGGACAUGUCUACCUGGAAUCCCAAUGUUCAACAUCAUAUAAAGCUGGAGGUGCUGAUGCUCUGUGUGUUGGUCAUGGAGGUGACCCUCUCUGCUGUCCUCUCCUUCUGGAUCCGCGGAGCGAAACGCAGCCAUUCACUGUGAACUGUUCUCUGUCUGACAGCUAUUCAUGGACGACCACAUCCAAAUAUAUUGACGUUUAAAAAAUGAAAUGAUAGUGAGCAAGGAAGACAAUGGGGGAAGAUAUGCUGUGUCAAAGGGCCGCUGGGGGAAGAUAUGCUGUGUCAAAGGGCCGCUGGGGGAAGAUAUGCUGUGUCAAAGGGCCGCUGGGGGAAGAUAUGCUGUGUCAAAGGGCCGCUGGGGAAGAUA